CCCAGGCGGCUCCGCAGCUCCUUCAGUGCCCCGAGCCCGCGCACAGCGACAGCGCCCAGCCCGCCACGGCCCCGACACACGGCUGCCAGCCUGCCUGCUGCGGGACACAGCCGCCACACACAGCCCGCCACGGCCCCGACACACGGCUGCCAGCCUGCCUGCUGCGGGACACAGCCGCCACAUACAGCCCGCCACGGCCCCGACACACGGCUGCCAGCCUGCCUGCUGCUGCUCUCACCCUGCUUUGCAAAGAAAAGAGGUGCUCCGGGAGAGCAUCUGUGCUGGGAGCUGACCAAGCAGCUGCCCUGACAGGCACGCAGGGUCUAAUUCAGGUCGUUCUGUCACCUCAGUAGGUCAUACCAUGAGAGGUGUUUGCAGGGAGGGUUCCCGAGGUCACAGAGAAAUCUCCAACUCUGUCCAUGCAGAAAUGUCUCUGUUCCACACUGCAAGGUGCCUCGAAAGCUGCACCCUUAAAAGGAUGAGAAAUGGAGGUGUACUUGGAAUCCCCCUGAGGCUGGAAUUCACUUCUCGACAUUUUCUUCUGAUCCACAGGUUUUCCCAAGCAUCCUACCAUGUGCAUUAAGCAUCUUCAUGAAAAGUUGCAAUAUCUGUAAGCGAAAAGAAUAAAUCUGAUGGAGUAGAGAAGCUUUUCAAAUCAGCUGAGGGCACAGACACAAAAACCUUGCUCUGAAUCUAUUUGCUUCAUUUUCCAUCACAGUAAUCACGUCUAGCUAUGCUGAAAUGCAGAGGCCUCUGGGAUCCGCAAGGAUGGUUGCAGGUUUUUGUCUCAGCACGAGUGCUCGGAAGAAUAUUCCUAUCCUUGAACAUGUAUUAACAACAUCUUUUCUAUGCUCUGAAGCCCGAGAAUGCAUAACCUUAGAAGGAGAUCAUAGAAGGAUGAGUUUUCAGCAGGACAAUCUGCGACAAUCUCAGGACCGUCCACUAGUUUAGAAAUCUACUUCUAAACCAUGGAGCGGUGCCACACCUGCAUGAGAAUGUUCCCAUUAAACCCAUUAUUACUACCUCCAUCAUUCUUCAUGUACUUCCAGAUGGUUUUCCAAGGCAAACCCGUUUUAGGCCAUGCCACAAAGACCACCAUGGGAUCACUCUAGAGUUAAUAUGGAAAAGAGGAUGGGAGUGAGGGACCUGGGAAAGAGGCAUUUAUUCCAGGCAGAUGAAGAAGGGCAGGGCAGAAGGGGCACAGACACACGAGUCCCCUGUUCCCAGAGGAAAUUGCAAUGAGCCCAGACAGCUGAGAAAGCUCAGUGGGGAAGAAGCCGCUGAGCUCGCCAAUGGGCAGCACGGGGUGUGCAGCAGAGCUGGCGAUUGCAGCUGCGGAGGUGAGGAGUGCAGUGCGAGCUGAGCGGGAAGAGCCCCUUGCCAUGGCUGAGGCCGCAGAGGCACGGAAUGCUCCGAAUGCCAGUGGCUGAGGGAGCCACGGCGGCUGCUGCUGGACGAGCGAGAAACGCAGCAGGAGCAUUUCAGGCACGGCAAGGACAGGCCAUUGCUCUGCCUGCUGCCGCUGCUGCUCCCGCUGCUCCCGCACACAGUCGUUUCCGGCACCUCUGUUCUCUCGCCGCUGCGACGUGCUUUCUGCCUCUUCCUCACUCAGCAAACACGCAGCUUGCUCUCGCCAUGCACCUCGCACAUCUCAUCCUCACCGUCUUCCUGGCACAGCUCCUCGGCACCUCGGGGCAGAUCACGGUCACCCAGGAAGAUGCACAAGUCACAGUGAAGCAGGGACACCCCUUCCACACCACCUGCAAAUACCACGCCAGUGGUUUUGAUGCCUUGCUCUGGUACCAGCUGCGGAAAGGCCAAGCCCCCCAGCUGGUCUCCUAUCAAUCAGGGACUGGCCCCAGGCACAGCGGCCGGAUCACCACGCACCUGAACACCACGGGCAAAUACAGUGUCCUGAAGGUGGAGGAAGUGCAGGUGUCUGACAGUGCCUUGUACCUGUGUGCUGUGCGAGACACCCUGGUGCAGGGAGCUUGCUCGGCUGUGCAACAACCCAGGGGAGGGAGGGGAUGUGUCAGUGCAAGGUUGAGAUUGAGGAAGUGACGCAGAUCUCACCCCAGUGCUCACCACAACUUGCACUCCGUGUAUGCACAAUGGUCUGAUGGUUUUCACUACGUCCAUCCUGACACUUCCCUUGGGAAAAUAUUCUGGACAAUUCUGACUAAUUUAUGUUUGUUUCGGUCUGUAACUGAAGAAAAAUAUGCCCUGUGCAUGGCUGGGACCUUGUCCUUCCACACUCCAGCCCUGCUGCUUUUGACCCCACAUGUUCUCACCAGAGCCCAGGGCUGCUUCUGUGUUCCUGCCCUGGGUGCUCUUGCAGCAGCCCCUUUUGCAUGGACACACGUGAAGCACAGAUUUGUGGAUGGCUCCACUCUGGUGUGCACGAGCCUGUGUCUGUGCGUGUGUCUGUGUCUGUGUCCCUCACAGGGAGGGAAUUCCCUGACUAUGCCAGGGACACCGGCAGCUAUUCGCUGGAAAUGUGUGCAUGGGCGAGGCGCUGAAAUGCAGCCCCUGUGUCCCGAGCCCUUCCUUUCCUGCCCCACCAAAGCUCACACUCUGCCGUGGCGGGGUGGAUGGAUGUGUUUGUGAUGCAGUGUGGGUGG